AAGCGUAUACGGCCAGACUUGGCCGCGGUUGCUCAACCUGUCUUCUGGCGGGUGUACUCUUCCGCGGUCAGGCCAGCAUCGGUUUGGGCGGUCGGAUAAAGGCAUCGGGAAUGUGGCUCCUCGGAGUGUUAUAGCCCGGUGUGCAAUGCGACCUGUCUGGACCGAGGUCCGCGUUCGCUAGGAUGCUGGCAUAAUGGCCUUAUACGG
rnacentral:rRNA from 1 species